CAGUAGCCGCGGGAAUACGAAGGGGGCUAGCGUUGUUCGGAUUUACUGGGCGUAAAGGGCGCGUAGGCGGGCUGAUAAGUCGGGGGUGAAAUCCCAAGGCUCAACCUUGGAACUGCCUUUGAUACUGUUGGUCUUGAGUCCGGGAGAGGUGAGUGGAACUGCGAGUGUAGAGGUGAAAUUCGUAGAUAUUCGCAAGAACACCAGUGGCGAAGGCGGCUCACUGGCCCGGAACUGACGCUGAGGCGCGAAAGCGUGGGGAGCAAACCGGAUUAGAUACCCGGGUAGUCCCUGUCUCUUAUAC
rnacentral:rRNA from 1 species